rnacentral:rRNA from 1 species
AUUGAACGCUGGCGGCAGGCCUAACACAUGCAAGUCGAACGAGUGGCGGACGGGUGAGUAAUGUCUGGGAAACUGCCCGAUGGAGGGGGAUAACUACUGGAAACGGUAGCUAAUACCGCCUACCAUCGGAUGUGCCCAGAUUGGAUUAGCUAUGAGGUGGGGUAACGGCUCACCUAGGCGACGAGCCCUAGCUGGGCUGCGAGGAUGACCAGCCAAACUGUAACUGAUACACGGUCCGGACUCCUACGGGAGGCAGCAGUGGUGAAUAUUGCACAAUGGGCGCAAGCCUGAUGCAGCCAUGCCGCGUGUAUGAAGAAGGCCUUCGGGUUGUAAAGUACUUUCAGCGAGGAGGCGUUACUCGCAGAAGAAGCACCGGCUAACUCCGUGCCAGCAGCCGCGGUAAUUC